rnacentral:rRNA from 1 species
GACGAACGCUGGCGGCGUGCUUAACACAUGCAAGUCGAACGGAAAGGCCCUGCUUUUGUGGGGUGCUCGAGUGGCGAACGGGUGAGUAACACGUGAGUAACCUGCCCUUGACUUUGGGAUAACUUCAGGAAACUGGGGCUAAUACCGGAUAGGAGCUCCUGCUGCAUGGUGGGGGUUGGAAAGUUUCGGCGGUUGGGGAUGGACUCGCGGCUUAUCAGCUUGUUGGUGGGGUAGUGGCUUACCAAGGCUUUGACGGGUAGCCGGCCUGAGAGGGUGACCGGCCACAUUGGGACUGAGAGACGGCCCAGACGCCUACGGGAGGCAGCAGGCGGGAAUAUUGCACAGUGGGCGGAAGCCUGAUGCAGCAACGCCGCGUGCGGGAUGACGGCCUUCGGGUUGUAAACCGCUUUCGCCUGUGACGAAGCGUGAGUGACGGUAAUGGGUAAAGAAGCACCGGCUAACUACGUG